UGCAGGUCUCCUGUUUCCUUUGAAGGCAGCAGAUGUCUCACAGGAUACUUGUGCAAACUUCCUGUUUUGAUCAGAUGUAGAGCAGUGAUGACUCUGUAAUAGUCUGCGAUUCUAGGAUUCGGAGAUGGCUCUGUGGUGGGAAGGAUUUUGUCCAUUGAUGCUGCGCUGUGAAAAACACCCAAGGUCGCUUGUAACCUUCAAGAGAAUGCUUCCUUCGGGAGCAGCGUGGUUCCGUAUUUGGGUUCAGGCUCAGCUCAGGCUGAGGGAAGGGAGGAGGAGUCCUCAGAGAUCAUCUCGUGUUCCACCUGUCCUGCUGUGAGCAGGGUUGCCAGCCACGAGAUCCAAGUGCCGGGAAACCCAUCCAGCCUGGCCUUGGAUGCCUCCAGGGACGGGGCAUCCGCAGCUUCUCUGGGAAAAGAAGUUACCUAGGAAUCUUUGUCCCGUGCUUCAUACACAAUGUCUUGUUUCUUCCUAGGCCAUCGUUCCAGCCCUGCCCGGGGACAGCCUGGUGACCAUUCCUGCAGUCGAAACACCUCCAAGCAGCCUGGAACUGCUUCCAGGAAGCCAGGCGGACUCCGUGGCACAGUCGGAGGUCUCAAGUGCACCAUCCUAUUCCUCACAAGACGCAGCUGAGACACAGCAGCUGAGCUGCGCAGAGGCGGGGGAAGCACUCGUCUCUGAAGAGGACGAUCUCGAGCAGUUCGUGAUGGAGAUCACAGGAGAACUGGAAGGAGAAAUUGAGGUGGACGCUGAGAAGGAUGUGGACGAGCUCCUUCUGGAACUGUCUGACAUCAUUGACAGUGUAACACCAUAGACUGAUUGUCUAUUUUACAACCAACAGCAACAACCACCAAUUAAAACCAACCCUGUUCCUUUUCAA